UUAUAAGUACUAAAUCAUUUUCAAAUUCUAGAACUCAGUACAACGUCCUCCUACUCAGUAUUACACUUUUAAUGUAUUCAAUGCACCAAUUAGCUACAAUACAACUUAUACAUUCACUCUUGAUUAUACUAAUGUCACUAUUGGUGAAUUACUCACUGAUACAAACUACACUGUUACUAUCAUACCUGGUAAUGCUAUUGGAUAUGGACCAUCAGUCACUGUUAAUGUCAGUGUAUCUAGUAUGAUGAGUAGUAGUUCAUCAGUAUUCCCAGUCAGUAUACAGGCUUCAAGUAUCAGUACUGUUACAGGUACAAGAUCAGUAACAGAAUUAACAGCAACAAAAUCAGUUACAACAAGUAAUGA